rnacentral:ncRNA from 2 species
AGAAGUGAAUAUCACUCAGGUGCCGGGAUAUGCAGCGCAUAGACCGGUGAAAAGGGAAACAGGUGCGAAUCCUGUACGAACUCGUCACUGUAAGCAGGGAGCGAAGCCGGAGCCACUGGGAGACCGGGAAGGAGGCGGAGCGCAGAUCUGCGAGUCAGGAGACCUGCCUGAGGCAGACACGACGG